rnacentral:lncRNA from 1 species
GGGUGUAACACAAACAGGUGAAGAGGAUUUUUGUGGUGGAUCCAGCCCUGGAGCAAUGGCAGAGCUGUGGCUCCCAGCUGUCUUGCUUGUUGGAAUUGAAGAAUAAAGCAAGGAAGGCUUUCAGCAGCUCCCAGUCAUAAAGGAAAACUACAGUGUCCACCAGCUUGGCUGGGUUUUGUUGUGAGAACAAACACAUCCCCAAAGUACAGCUGUCUCUCUGUCCCCAGUGAGCAGAAACACUUCAGGUAAGAAAUGUUUGGUUUUCAGUUUGUUUGUU